UCCCAGGGAGCUGGGCCAGCUCACCAGUGCUGCUCUUGUUAAAAGCUGGGAGCCGGCAGCCAGCAGCCAGCUUCUGGCUUCUUCUCACUGCCUUGCUGCCCUCUGUCCCGACGUUUCCUGGGUCUUCUGAGUUCGAGGUCCGUCCCAAAGAACCCUCCAACGCGCCCUGCUAGAUGCUUCUGCAAAGAGGAAGAGAGAGAAAGGCGAUGUCAGAGAGGUGUAUGACAUUCUUUGACACUGGUAUCCUCUACAGCUCUGGAAUGCGGCUGGAAGAAGUGAACCCAGGGUUGCUACAAAGCUGGAAUAUGUCAAAGCUCAUGUAUCAGUUUGGUUUCUGUUGCCAGUAGCACAAGCCAAAAAGAGUGGGCCAAGCUUUUGGUUCUACCCUUCUGCACAUGGUUGAGAACACAAGGCGCCAUGAACCCUCAGAAGUCUGCACCCAGCCAUAGACCCUCUGGUUCCAGAGUAUCCUGGAAACAGGAGACUGUUUCCAGCACCCAAAUGUGUCAAGAAGUUGUGAGAAGAGUUCCAGACAAGGUGAAAGGCUGUGUUCAAGGAGAUUUGGCUGGCUGAUUGAUGAAGAAUAUCAUCAAAGGAUCAAUAUUUUUGUAGAUAUUGGUAUGGACAGAAGACAUGGGGACCAGAAGAGCACUGUGUCAGUUAGUACUUUAUAAUCCCCCUGAAACUUGUUCAUAACCACAAGGAGAAAAGGGAGAAGGCCCUAAGUUGAUGGAAGUAAAUAUUUGCCAUUCAAAUACAAAUUGGCAUCGUGUCACAGCAGAUAAAGCUGCUGCCUUUGAUGGCAGCAUCCCAUAUGGGUGCCAGUUCAAGUCCUGGCUGUUCCACUUUUGAUCCAACUCCCUGCUAAUGCACCUGGGAAUGCGGCAGAGGAUACCCCAACUAUUUUCCAUUCAUAGGCUUUUUGGACUAGGUUUUGUCCUUGUCACAGCCAUUUUACAGAUGAGGAAACUGAAUCUUAAACACAGCAAAGCACUUGCCCAAGGUAGAAUAAUUAAUAACUUGGCUGAGACUCACCAGAGCCCAGUUCCUAACCUCUCUGUUAUUCUGUCUCCCAGAGGAGUAAAUUCAAGGUCAGAGAUACCCAGCAUCCAAGGUCACAUACCAUUUUGGAUAAACUUUGGGAUGGAGCCGUGUCUGUUGACUUCUCAGCCUUGCUCUUUCGUAAGACAAUGAGAGUCUGUAUUUUGAAGGAGUGGGAUGAAUUCCUGCAGAGAAUUAAGCUGUAAGUGAACUUCUGCUGACUUCCCAAAAGACCAUGAGAAAAAUCUCAGUUAUUUUAAUCAUGGCUUUGUAAAUUAUGAAACUUGAAACUUUGGGAAAGUGAAUUAAGCUGUUUCUUCUCAAUUUCUUCCAUAAAAAUGGAGCUUGUAAUGUUUACCUCCAUACCCUUUAAGUGUGUGCUAUGGCUAUUGCCUUCCUUCCAAAUACUAAAGUAAGGAAAGGAGGUAGAGCAUCAGGAGACAGCCAGGGAUCAGAAAUAGAGCUAGAGGAAGCACACCACCACAGCCUUCCCCAGGGCUGCCUCUGAAACUCCACCACGGCCUGCAAUCCAAGGCCACUAGUGUAGAAAAGCCUUCACCCAGAACCUGCCUGCUGGAGAUACCCAACGUGGCUACUGUGUCCCAGAGAUGGUCUAUGGCUUAUUAUAACAUCAUUAUAAUAGAACUACCAUGACUGAAACUCUUAUUCCCAUGAUGCCCCGAAACCAAAAAGGCUAGGAAAUGGGCAGUCGCUGAAUUCCUGGAAGUCCUUGGGCUUUCCUGGAAAACUCUGCUCAAAACACAUUCCCCUACGACUCCAGAUCACAUAGAGGGUGACCCUGAACCCUGUGGGUUGCACCUCACUCUAGGGCAUGCCUGCACUCCCUCAUGAGUGUGUACUUUCACUCUGAUACAAGAAUGGCAAAGGAUCUCUGUGAUCUUCAUCCCCCAAACACAUAACUCUCAUGAUUUUUUGGGCUACUGGAACAAAAUACCAGUUUACACUUUGGCUCCAAAGUUUCGAUCAUUGAGUGUGCCGAAACAAACUGACAGGAGACAUGUUAACUGGAGAAACGGCACCCAAAUUCAUUAACAUGCACAUGUGCAUGGAAGCCACACGCCACAUGAAACUCAAAGGUGGGCCAGGUGGCAGAGACUUACAUAUCCUCCUUGUGGGGGGUGGGAGAGAGGGAAGUGGUGCUGCAGGCACUUUUAGAAAGGGAAUAAGUGGGACCAGCAUUGUGGCUUAGCAGUUAAGCCUCCACUGUGAUGCCUGCAUCCCAUAGGGGCCCUAGGUCCAGCCCAGGCUGCUCCACUUCUUAUCUAGCUUCCUGCUAAUAUGCCUGGGAAAGCAGUGUAAUAUGGCACAGUGCUUGGGCCCCGGCCACCCCUGCAGCUCCUGGUUCCUGGCUUCGCCCUAGUCCAGGCCUGGCUGUUGCAGCCAUCUGGGGAGUGAACCGGCGGAUUAAAGUUCUGUCUCUCUGUA